rnacentral:lncRNA from 1 species
UGAGAACUCAAACAGUGUUGCUAGUAGUAGAGUUGUGCUUUUAAGAUUCUCAAAUUAUGCGAGACUGAAGCAAAUAUAAUUACAAUGUAAAACAUAAGGUUGGUUAAUGACUCUUUUUAGCCAUAGGUAAAUAUAAGGGCUUUCUAUAACACAAUGUGUAUGUUUGCUGACUUUUUGAACUCAAUAUAUGGUCAUUAGAUCUAACAAGUUCGUGCUUUUGUCAGUUUAUGUUUUUUUCUACCAAUGUGUUCCACGAUUCUUGCGCUUUCGAAAUCUUUCAGAGCCCAAAUUUGCUGACACAACGCAAUGUUUUAUUUAAAAAUAAAUCCACGGUUUUCUAAUGACAGAAAUUUCCAAUGUUGUGACACUGCUAUUUGCGUUCUUGCUGGGACACAGCGUAUUACUCGUAACCCAAAUAUGUCAUGCCCUUCUGGUAAUCUAUCUAUAUUCUCCGUAGAUGAUAAUUCAUCAUUGAGCAGCAGAAUUUGUCAACAUAAUCGUUUUAAAGUACUAGAAACAAGAAAUAUGAAAACCGAAAUUUGAAACAGAAAGUUCAAACGAAACAAAAUUAUUGACGGUUACCG